rnacentral:rRNA from 1 species
UACGUAGGGGGCGAGCGUUGUCCGGAAUCAUUGGGCGUAAAGCGCGUGUAGGCGGCCCGGUAAGUCCGCUGUGAAAGUCCAGGGCUCAACCCUGGGAUGCCGGUGGAUACUGUCGGGCUCGAGUCCGGAAGAGGAGAGUGGAAUUCCGUGGUGUAGCGGUGAAAUGCGCAGAUAUCAGGAAGAACACCCGUGGCGAAGGCGGCUCUCUGGGACGGUACUGACGCUGAGACGCGAAAGCGUGGGGAGGCGAACAGGAUAGAAACCCCUGGUAGUCCAAGACCGAAUGAU